AUAACGGUCCUAAGGUAGCGAAAUUCCUUGUCAGGUAAGUUCUGACCCGCACGAAUGGCGUAAUGAUUUGGGCACUGUCUCAACAGCCCGCCCGGCGAAAUUGUAGUACUGGUGAAGAUGCCAGUUACCCGCAACUAGACGGAAAGACCCCAUGGAGCUUUACUGCAGCUUAAUACUGAAAUUCGGUAGUACAUGUACAGGAUAGGUGGGAGACUGAGAAAUACAGGCGUCAGCUUGUAUGGAGUCGCUGUUGGGAUACCACUCUUGUACUGCUGGGUUUCUAACCUGCGGCCGUGAAUCCGGUCGGGGGACACUGUUAGGCGGGCAGUUUGACUGGGGCGGUCGCCUCCCAAAAGGUAACGGAGGCGCUCAAAGGUUCGUUCAGCACGGACGGAAAUCGUGCAAUGAGUGUAAACGCAUAAACGAGCCUAACUGCGACACCGACGGGUGGAGCAGUAACGAAAGUUGGAGUUAGUGAUCCGGUGGUAUGUGAGUGGAAAUGCCAUCGCUCAACGGAUAAAAGCUACCCUGGGGAUAACAGGCUGAUCUCCCCCAAGCGUCCACAGCGACGGGGAGGUUUGGCACCUCGAUGUCGGCUCGUCGCAUCCUGGGGCUGAAUUCGGUCCCAAGGGUUUGGCUGUUCGCCAAUUAAAGCGGCACGCGAGCUGGGUUCAGAACGUCGUGAGACAGUUCGGUCCCUAUCUGUUGCGGGCGUAAGAGAUUUGAAGGGAGCUGUCCUUAGUACGAGAGGACCGGGAUGGACGUACCUCUGGUGCACCAGUUGUCCUGCCAAGGGCAUAGCUGGGUAGCUAUGUACGGACGAGAUAAACGCUGAAAGCAUCUAAGCGUGAAACUCCCCCUAAGAUGAGAUCUCUCAUCCUUCAAGGAGUAAGGACCCAGAAAGACGAUCUGGUUGAUAGGCCGAAGGUGGAAGCGCAGUAAUGUGUGCAGCUGAUCGGUACUAAUAGUCCGAGGGCUUGACCUA
rnacentral:rRNA from 1 species